rnacentral:rRNA from 1 species
UGAGCAACCUACCGAACUGUGGGGGAUAGCCGGCCUAACGGCCGAGUAAUACCGCAUACGCUCUCAGGGAGGCAUUUCUUUGAGAGGAAACCUACGGGACAGAUCGAGGGGCUCGCGGCCUAUCAGCUAGUUGGUGUGGGUAACGGCUCACCAAGGCGACGACGGGUAGCUGGUCUGAGAGGAUGGCCAGCCACAGUUGGGACUGAGACACGGCCCAGACUCCGUACGGG